rnacentral:rRNA from 1 species
GCAGGAAGACUGCCCUAUGGGUUGUAAACUGCUUUUAUAGAGGAAGAAACCUCCCUACGUGUAGGGAGCUGACGGUACUCUACGAAUAAGGAUCGGCUAACUCCGUGCCAGCAGCCGCGGUAAUACGGAGGAUCCAAGCGUUAUCCGGAAUCAUUGGGUUUAAAGGGUCCGUAGGCGGGCAGUUAAGUCAGUGGUGAAAGUCUUCCGCUCAACGGGAGAAUUGCCAUUGAUACUGAUUGUCUUGAGUCAUUAUGAAGUGGUUAGAAUGAGUAGUGUAGCGGUGAAAUGCAUAGAUAUUACUCAGAAUACCGAUUGCGAAGGCAGAUCACUAAUAAUGUACUGACGCUGAUGGACGAAAGCGUAGGUAGCGAACAGGAUUAGAUACCCUGGUAGUCUACGCCGUAAACGAUGGUUACUAGCUGUUUGGACGAUUGAGUCUGAGUGGCUAAGCGAAAGUGAUAAGUAACCCACCUGGGGAGUACGUUCGCAAGAAUGAAACUCAAAGGAAUUGACGGGGGCCCGCACAAGCGGUGGAGCAUGUGGUUUAAUUCGAUGAUACGCGAGGAACCUUACCAGGGCUUAAAUGCAGUCUGACGUAUCUGGAAACAGAUAUUUCUUCGGACAGAUUGCAAGGUGCUGCAUGGUUGUCGUCAGCUCGUGCCGUGAGGUGUCAGGUUAAGUCCUAUAACG